rnacentral:rRNA from 1 species
UACGAAGGGUGCAAGCGUUGCUCGGAAUUAUUGGGCGUAAAGGGCAAGUAGGUGGUCAUAUAAGUCUGUGGUGAAAUCCCCGAGCUCAACUCGGGACGUGCCAUGGAAACUGUAUGACUAGAGUAUCGGAGAGGUUCGUGGAAUUCCCGGUGUAGCGGUGAAAUGCGUAGAGAUCGGGAGGAACACCAGAGGCGAAAGCGACGAACUGGACGAUGACUGACACUCAAUUGCGAAAGCGUGGGUAGCAAACAGG